rnacentral:rRNA from 1 species
AGAGUUUGAUCAUGGCUCAGAACGAACGCUGGCGGCGUGCUUAACACAUGCAAGUCGCGUGCGCAGUUCCGUAGCAAUACGGGAUGGGCGCACGGCGCACGGGUGCGUAACACGUGGGCAAUCUGCCCUCCGAUGGGGAAUAACCCCGCGAAAGCGGGGCUAAUACCGCAUAACAUUCCUUGGACUAUGGUUUGAGGAUUCAAAGCAGCAAUGCGUCGGAGGAGGAGCCCGCGCCCGAUUAGCUAGUUGGUGAGGUAACGGCCCACCAAGGCAAUGAUCGGUAGCUGGUCUGAGAGGAUGGCCAGCCACACUGGAACUGAGACACGGUCCAGACUCCUACGGGAGGCAGCAGUGGGGAAUCUUGCGCAAUGGGCGAAAGCCUGACGCAGCGACGCCGCGUGGGGGAUGAAGCUUCUCGGAGUGUAAACCCCUUUCGACUGGGACGAAUGCCCGCAAGGGAGUGACGGUACCAGUAGAAGAAGCCCCGGCUAACUACGUGCCAGCAGCCGCGGUAAGACGUAGGGGGCCAGCGUUGUUCGGAAUUACUGGGUGUAAAGGGUUCGUAGGCGGUGUGGCAAGUCGGGAGUGAAAUCUCUGGGCUUAACUCAGAGGCUGCUUCCGAAACUGCUGUGCUUGAGUGUGGGAGAGGCGCGUGGAAUUGCAGGUGUAGCGGUGAAAUGCGUAGAUAUCUGCAGGAACACCCGUGGCGAAAGCGGCGCGCUGGACCACAACUGACGCUGAGGAACGAAAGCUAGGGGAGCAAACAGGAUUAGAUACCCUGGUAGUCCUAGCCCUAAACGAUCAGGACUUGGGGUGCCGCCCGUUCGGGCGUCGUCCCGGAGCUAACGCGUUAAGUCCUGCACCUGGGGAGUACGGUCGCAAGACUGAACUCAAGGAAUUGACGGGGGCCCGCACAAGCGGUGGAACAUGUGGUUCAAUUCGACGCUACGCGAGGAACCUUACCUGGGCUCGAAAUGCUUCGGA